rnacentral:rRNA from 1 species
UACGGAGGAUGCGAGCGUUAUCCGGAUUUAUUGGGUUUAAAGGGUGUGUAGGCGGACUGUCAAGUCAGCGGUAAAAUUGAGAGGCUCAACCUCUUCCCGCCGUUGAAACUGGUGGUCUUGAGUGGAUGAGAAGUACGCGGAAUGCGUGGUGUAGCGGUGAAAUGCAUAGAUAUCACGCAGAACUCCGAUUGCGAAGGCAGCGUACCGGCAUCCAACUGACGCUGAGGCACGAAAGCGUGGGGAUCAAACAGG